CCUACGUGAGGCAGCAGUGAGGAAUAUUGGUCAAUGGGCUUACGCCUGAACCAGCCAAGUCGCGUGAGGGAAGACUGCCCUAUGGGUUGUAAACCUCUUUUGUCAGGGAGCAACGCCGGCUACGUGUAGCCGGACUGAGAGUACCUGAAGAAAAAGCAUCGGCUAACUCCGUGCCAGCAGCCGCGGUAAUCCGGAGGAUGCGAGCGUUAUCCGGAUUUAUUGGGUUUAAAGGGUGCGUAGGCGGAAUGCCAAGUCAGCGGUAAAAUCGCGGGGCUCAACCUCGCUCCGCCGUUGAAACUGGCGUUCUUGAGUGGGCGAGAAGUAUGCGGAAUGCGUGGUGUAGCGGUGAAAUGCAUAGAUAUCACGCAGAACUCCGAUUGCGAAGGCAGCAUACCGGCGCCCAACUGACGCUGAAGCACGAAAGCGUGGGUAUCGAACAGGAUUAGAGACCCGGGUAGUC
rnacentral:rRNA from 1 species